UUGCCUAUAAAAGGUAUCACAAAUGCCUUGAAUAGAGGGGUUGGGAGCCAUUUUUAAUUUCUCCAGUUUGCUCUCUUUAAUUUUUACAUUCAGAUUCGAAAUUCCAAGUUCAAAACCCAAAAAAAAAAAAAAAAAUAGAAAGGAAAAACAAAACAAAGAAAAAUCCAAAACAUUACUGUUUCAUUGCAUAUCCUUGAAUCACUUUCAGUUUUCUGUCACAUCUGAGUGAUUCGAGCUAGCUGGUAGUUCAACGUGGUUGUCUAGCUGAUUUUUGGGUUCAUUUUGGAUUAAGGGGUGCUGUUUGAGUUUGCUUUAGGGCUGAUUGGUUUGGUCUCUUUGUUUUCAAUAGUUUUUGGGCUGCUUGUUGCUCAUUCAUUGCCGGUUUUCUAUUGCUGCUAGCCUGUCUUCAGCCGCUGACCUUCCUUUCUUCUAUUAUAUUUUCAAAUACCAGGUACACUCCCUCAAAUUGCUUCCAUGUAGCUCUAAUUGAAGUUGAAAUGGAAAACUGCCAAAUCUAGGCUUAUUUGAAUGUUGUUCAUUGUUUACAAUUCAGUUCAGUAGACAUUAGGAAAUAAAUGCGUUUGGAAUGUUAAUUUGGACUGUGUAUUGUAGUUUUUGAAUUGGUGGAUUGCUGGUAGGGAUGGCAAUUGGGGCAGGGCGGGGUGGGAAAAACUCUUAACGGGACGGGGCAGGUAAAGAUCUAAAUAGGGCGGGGCGGGGAGGGGCGUUUGAAAGAAAUUUGAUAGGGCGGGGCAAGAUGUAGAGCUUUUGAAAUUGCUUAAAUGUGUACAACUUGUUUUAGAAAUUUGAAGCUUCAAGCUUCAGCUAAUUUAAACAAGAGUUCCCACUUCACAAAAAGAUUGUUAAGAAAAUUAAUAUAAUUAAAUUACUUCAAACGAUGAAAUACUAGCUUUAACUUUCAAAAUCUGAAUACUUACAUCUAGUUGUUAUUGCAUUAAAUUUAAUAAAUUAAUGUUGUAUUUUAAAAUAACAGAUAAUGAAUGAAAGUGAUGCCCCAUAGUGUAAUUUUACAGUCUAAUUCGUUCACUAACUUAAUAAAGAAUAUGAUAACGGAAGGAAACAAAAAUUUUAAGUGACUUAAGCAGUUAGCUAUUUACUUGGGCUGAAGCAUUAAUUUAAGGGGAUUUACUCUUUAAUAAGUUAUACUAUAAUAUUGAUAAAAAUUAUAAUUUAUUCAACUGAUACAAAUAGAUGCCAAUAUUUUACCGUCUAACUCGUUCAUUAACUUAAAAAAGAAUAUGAUAACGGAAGGAAACAAAAAUUUUAAGUGACUUAAGCAGUUAGCUAUUUACUUGGGCUGAAGCAUUAAUUUAAGGGGAUUUACUCUUUAAUAAGUUAUACUAUAAUAUUGAUAAAAAUUAUAAUUUAUUUAAUUGAUACAAAUAAACUGUUUCAUGUCAAUAACACAUCCAUUUUAAAUAAAGAAAAUCUAAACGGAGUGGGGCAGGGUGGGGCAGGGCAGGGCAAAAAUUUGGAAAAGGGCUAAACGGGGCAGGGCAAGGCGGGUCAAAAUUUUAGCGGGUUAAGGCUUGCCCUGGCCUUCCCGCUCCGCCCGCCCCAACUGCCAUCUCCAAUUGCUGAACUUAUUUUACAAACAUGCGAGUUUUGCGUAACCAGCAUUUUAAUCUAUCUUAGGUUGUGUUGCUAGUUAAGAAGUGUAACGGAGUUAAUUCGUUUUCAAUAGAUCCAAAUAGAUUUAUAAAUGCAGUAUUACUUUGUGUGAAGUGUGAUGUAGUUAAUUCAUGUUCAGUAGUUAUGAAAAUAGGUCUAUAUAGUUUGAUAUGUACAAAACGAGUUCAAACAACGCAAAUGGAAAUCAAUAUAUUAGUUUAAUUGGUCCAGUUUUCUGAAAAUGCUAAUGCUCAAAUACUUGAUUAUUUCCGGUUCCAAUUGACUCUUAUUCCUGUAGUGAAGCCCGAUACUCGAAUUGACAAUAACGUGUUAGCCUCUUUAAGCGCGAUUUUAAUAAUUUUACUUUCCUAAAUUCGGGUGCUCAUUUAUGCGACCCAAGUUCAAAUCUUAACGAAGUCGAAAUAUGUUAACAACUACGGAUACAUUGAUUGCGACGUGGUUCGAGACGCGCUUUCAUGGCGUUGCAAUUCUUUUAAAAUAAUGAUAAAAGCGGUUUAAAGUCAAUAAAAGUACCUAAGUUAUAACAUGUAUUAAAAUCAGAUAUUUAGCAUCGCAACAAUUUAAGCGACCGUGCUAGAACCACGGGAUCCGGGGGUGCCUAACACAUUUCCUCGGGUCAAAAGAAUUCCUUACGUAGAAUUUCUGGUUCGUAUAGUCCAAUUGAGAAGUCGAAAAUUUUCAUCGUUUCGGGAUUCAAGAUAAACCGGUGACUUGGGACACCAAAAGCCAAACCUUUCUCAAGUAGCACCUCUAAAUAAAUAAUUCUGAUCUGAAUAAUGUCACUUUAAAUGAAAAAACUCCCAUAUACAUUAUCCUUCGGGGCAGUACGUAAAAAGGAGGCGUGACAGCUCUGGCGACUCUGCUGGGGAAACAAACCCAAAAUUUCGGUUCAGGGUUUAAGAAUUCGAGCUUAGAUAAAUUAUUGUAUUUAGUUAUAUCUGAUUUCCUACAUGUUUCAUGCUUAAUGUGCUAAAUGUGUAACGCUUUGAUAUUAUAUGAAUUGUGUAUAAACUAUGCCGAAACCCUCCUCUUCUCACCUUCGGGGAUGUGCUUACUGGUUGAGACUCCUUAUUCUAUUAGUGUCAUACCUUGAAAUAAGAAAGAGGCCUGGAUCAGUUACAAAGCCGGACGAUCUCGCGGGUCCCCGUUACGUAGCCCACUCAUCGACUCGAGUUGUCCGCUCGUGUACAUUGUGUAGAACACAUACCCAUGUUUCGAACGUAGAAUAACGUGACUUCAUGUCGGUCCCUAGUAGGAACGUUUAUUUGCAUCACGGUGCAUUUGACUUAGGGGAUUCAACACAGGGGUUGGGUCCGUAUAGGACUAACAACCUGAAAUGAAAAAGACCACCAUGAUGCAUCCUACGUGUUUUCCGUUCACUUAUUUAUUUUGGGCAUGCAUGCUGGCCGAUUAUUGAGUAUCGAGAAUAUUGUGAAAUUGUGAAAAAGGGGAAAAAAAGAGAAAUAGCAUGGUAGAAUUAAUCGCCUACUUUUAGAAAAACCAACUUCCAAAUACUAUCGAAACUCUGCCAAAAUUUUAAAAAUGGAAAAGAUAUAUUUUAUUGUUGCAUUGUUGAAAAAGAAAAAGAAAAGAGUCUUAUUUUCAAAAUAGUUUAUUUGCCCGAGCUACGACGGUUUGAUUCCCACAAGGCAUGAGAUACGUAGGCAACCCUCAUCGGGUCCAACUUUCUUUUUGCAAAAAUAACCAAAAUUGUCAAAUUUUAAUUUUUGUUAUAAAUAAGUCGGAUGAUGUCAUUCUUGUCAAAAUAAGCCAAAUGUCCCUAAAGGGGCGAUGGAAGGCUGCUUUUGCGAGAACAACCACCUUUGGCCAUUUUUAGGAUUUUGACCGGCUAGCCUACAUAACCUUAAAUCUUCAUCCCCGAGGCGUUGAAGGGCCGUGUUUUCAACAUCGAGUCUUUUAUUUUAAUUUGAAAAAUAAGAAAAGAGUCAUAAAUAAGUCGGGUAAUGUCAUUUUUGUAAAAAUAGCCGAAUGUUCCUAAAAGGGACACCGGAAGACUGACUUUACAUGAACAACCACUUUUGGUCAUUUGUUUUGGAAUUUUUUGACUGGUUGACGCACACAACCUUAAAAUCUUCGUCCCCAAAGUGCUGAAAGGUCGUGUUCGGAAAAUCGAAUCUUUCCUUUAAUUUGGAAAAAAAUUAAAAUAGUCAAUUUAUUUUGAGCUAAAAAUAUUUUAUUUUGCUUAAUCACCUUAAUAAAUGUGCCGGACGAGCACAAUGCAAAAUGAACCUUUUUCAAUUAUGACUAAAAUUCCUUUGGAGUUGCGGCUAUGGUGAGAUGAUUUAAGUGGUGAAGGGCAAGAUGAAGUCAAGAAAUAUCUGAAAGGUCUUACGGGUUUAUUGGAAAUCAAGCCUCGGGGGGAUAUCAUAAUAGCAUUGGUCACCUGCUGGAACCCGGCACACAAUGUCUUUCACUUCUCAGAUUUUGAACUCACCCUGACUUUGGAGGAAAUAGUCGGGUACAUGAAAAAUACUAAAGUUCCGUAAGGCAAAAAAACAUGGUUGCUCCUAGAGCCGUCAUUGCGCACCGGUUUUUAGACUUAUUAAAGAUACCCAGGACAGUACAUAACCCGGAUUUGGCAAAAGGCUAUUGUACUCCGCACUUCAUAUACAACAGAUUUGGUCAUAUCGGAGGGUUCAACAAUCUGGGUAACAAGCUAUGCAGCAAAAGUAAUCAUCAAAAAUGGGAUGAGCAUAAACGGGGUGGCUUAUAUGAUAACCUUCUUGGGCCUUUUGGUGUUCUCAAGGAAAUACGGGAACAUUUAUCUAAAAAUAGCUGGGGUCAUCAGUACUUUGGUCACUCAAGACGAAAGCACUCUCAUGCCUAUGAUAGUAUCGGAUAUCUUCUGAGCUCUCUCUGCCUGCAAAGCUGGAGGGAACUUUUUUGAGGGGUGUAACUUGUUGCUACAAAUGUGGAUGACUGAGCAUCUAUGCCACCGUUCCCAUCUCCGAAGUUAUGGUUCCUUGAAGAAAACUUGCAUAGAAGAGUUCUACACAAGAAUUAAGGGGGUCAGUCUACCUGGAGAGUUACGGUAUGGACAUCAUUCUUUCGAACCCUCACCGCCAGCCAAAUAAAGUGGACGCUCGGAUGGUUGCCUGUUGAUGAAGUCAUAUAUAUGUCGGCAGCUAGGCUCCACUUUCUAUUGAUGGGACUCAAGAACAUUCAGCCUUAAGCGCCAUAUCGGGUUUUGAGACAGCUCAGGAGAUGCCAAACAGUGCCACAGGAGGAAGAUCUUAGUGCUCAAGUAAUUGAGACUAGUCCCGAUGGACAGUUUCCCGAAGCAAGAGUCCGCCAGAUCUGGAAUGAAUGCAUAUAAUUUAAAGCAGAUACUUGCGUGCAGGAUCGGGCCAAAGGCGAAGUGUUGCCAGACUACCUUGCUAGGUAUAGUAGAGAACUUGAGCAUGAGAGGCCAGUUAAUAGACCCCACCUCCAGGAUUAUGCCGAAUCAUCACAAGAACAAUGGGGUUGGCUGGAAAAAGAAGAGGGUUACAAGGCAGAAAUAGGCAAGCUAAAACAACAGAUUAGAAACCUUGAGUUUAAAAGUAGCGUGCAAACCGCAGCUGAUGAGGGAUAUAAAAAGAAUCUAACCCAGGAAAAUGAGAUGCUUAGGGCCCAAAUCCAAAAAAUGAGGAUAGAUGCUGAUAAACAACAAAGGAUUCGGUCGGAUGAACGGUUGAUACAGGGGUUGAACACAAAAUUCGUUGAGUGUCGGGACGAACUGAAGAAAUCUGAGGGUACCAUAGCAGAACUCCAAGUAUUGUGGGCAAAAAGAACAAAAGAUUGCACACAGUACUCACCCUUGAGGACAAGGCAGCCAAGCAAGCUCGAGCUUUUGAAACUGAAAGUAGACACUGCUAAGAUUUACUACCCCAGAUGGAAGUAGAAAUUCAGCAAUGGCGAAAUCAAUAUCUCUAGGAUUCUCGGGUUUUGAAGGCCCGUAAUGAUCAGAUAAAGUGCAUGCUCAUAUAAAAAGGUCAAACCAGGGACAAGAUUGAGACAACUGCCCAUGCCAUCAUUAGGAGGUGUCGGCUAUGUGAAGAUAUGACCCGCAUUACCUUCUUUUCGGCAAUAAUGAUUUAUGUCAAGCGGACAAUGUAUGAACUGGAGAAACUUGAAAGGGAUCUCGAGCCUACGCCCGCGGUGAGACCGAAUGAUGCCCCGCGGGUACCAGUUUUUGGAGAUUUAAUGUAUUCAUAGUUCGAGUCUGUAUUUUUAUUUAGAGUCUGUUGUCUGUCUGUCUAUUUUCUUUUCGCAUUUGUAGGUUUUUGAGUCUGUAUUUGGCUUUAUUUCGAGUCAGUUAUUUUAAUCUUCAAAAUAAUUAGUUUGCAAUAGAAUAUUUUAGUAUGGAAAUAUUGUUUCAUUAUUUUUAGCAUUUAUUUUCACGAACUACGCUUGGUCUGAUUCGUGCGGGGUCCCGAUACGUAGGCAAUCCUCAUCGGAUUCGACCGUAACCUUAUGAGAAAAGUAAAAAAUGAUAAAUAAAGGGAAAACAAAAGAAACACAAGAGCGGAAGAAAAUCAAAGGAAAAACCAUGGCAAUAGAAAAAGGGAAAGCAGAAAAUGAGAAAAACAGAGGGAAAAAAUAAGUGAGAGAAAAUAAAAGAAAACAAAAGAAAAGGUGGGAUGAGGCAUGCAUCCGCUGCAAACAUGUAGAAAAUCAUUUAACUGUGUAGGUGCAUCACACCCCAGUGUGCGAUUACCUACCUAUAUUUGUCUCAGACUAAUCGUUUGUUGCUGUCAAUACAGUUUAGGUUUAUAGAAACAUGUGGGUUGGUUUAGUGGUAAACUGGCUUCGUACCACCACUUUACCAGAUCUAACUGUAAUACAGAGAUGUCAUCAGAAAUGACCCUGUCCCUAUUUCGGACGACAACCCACUCUAGGGUGUCACGGCCCAGAUUCCGCCGCAGUUGAAGAGAAUAGAUCUUGCAUCUGAGGGUGAUGGAGAUGUGGGACGCAUGGACAAACAGAAAAGAACCCCUGAAUGCCAUCCCCGGAUUUCCCGAGUUGUUCCCAAGGCCAACGGGUACCUCCAAUGUUCAAAUCAGUCAUCCGAACAUCCCACUGGGACAACCUACUAUAUCCGCUCAUUUUGUGGAAUCCUCUUCCGAGGUUCGCCCACAGGCAUUCAUACCCGGGACAACUCCAAACUUCUUCACUGCUCCACCAUCUUCUGCUGCAACACAGCUCGUAGUCCCAAGGCCCGUGUUUGAUCCAUCGGCCUUCACUUAUCAAACCCCUACUUACCAGCCAGAACUUCCUCCAUACUCCUCAUAUGCUUACCCUCAGCCACCACCAUAUGAGUUUACACCGGGGCAAGACAAUACCCCUAACGCCCCAGAGCAAGAUGAGAUGGCCAGGAGAAUGAGAAGCCUUGAAUAGAGCUUAAAGAACAUGCAAGGUUUGAGCGGGCAAAAGAGUGUCUCUUAUACAGAUUUGUGUAUGUUUCCGCAUGUACACUUCCCGUCAAGGUUCAAAACACCAAAAUUUGAAAAGUAUGACCGGCACGACGACCCCAUUGCUCAUUUGAAGAGGUAUUGCAAUCGGUUACGGGGGGACGGUGGCAAAGAAGAAUUAUUGAUGGCAUAUUUUGUGGAAAGCUUAAUCGGCAUUGCUUCCGAAUGGUAUAUGGAUCAAGACAUCUCAUGUUGGCAUAUCUGGGAUGAUCUUGCCAGAGAUUUUAUUUGACAGUUUCAAUAUAACAUAGACAUUGCGCCGGAUAGGAACUCUUUGGCGAAUCUGAAGAAGAAACCCUAAGAAAACUUGAGAGAAUAUUCCAUUAAGUGGCGCGAACAAGCAUCAAGAGUGAAACCUCAAAUGGAUGAGGUAGAGAUGGUCACUGUCUUCCUGCAAGCCCAAGAGCCCGAUUACUUCCAGAAUAUGAUGUCGGCCAUAAGAAAGCCUUUUGCAUAAGCGAUUAAAAUCGGGAAAAUGGUAGAAAAUGGUCUGAAAACGGGUAGAAUCUUGAGCCAGUAGUCCAUAAGAGCGACCUCCAAAGCCAUCCAAGGAGGGUCUGGAGGAAUGGCCAAAAGGAAAAAGAAAGAAGAAACGGUCAUGGCAGCAUCAGGAGGAAGGAGAUACCGGGAUCCUAGACCGAUGUUCUCCGAAAGAACCCCUCAACACUACUAUCCUCACAAUGAUAUGGCCUACGCUCCCCCACCUUAUGUGGUCAUGAAUUAUCAACCUUUCAGCCGACCGCAACCACAAGCCAACCAAAAUCCACCUCCAUUCCAAAGAAACCAACCUCCUUACCAGAACCAAUAUAAUCCUCGACCACCACAAAAUAACUUCCGCCCAUGGAAACCACCCAAGAGGCCCAACUUUAUGCCAAUCGGUGAACCCUACUCCACCUUGUUCCCUAAGCUUGUCCAGAUGAAUUUGCUACAGCCUAUUUCCCAAAAGAUGUAGAACCCGGAAUCUCCAGCUUACCAACGAGGUGUCCACUGUGCCUAUCAUUCAGGAGUUGAGGGGCAUAGUACCGGUAACUGCUGGACCUUGAAGAAAGCUGUGGAAGAUUUGAUUGAACAAGGAAGAAUAGUGGUGAGGGAUGAAGAAACCCCGAAUAUGACCAAUAAUCCGUUGCUCGCUCACAAUAACAGGCCGGUAAUCAGGAUGAUUUAUGAAAACAAGGAAUUCAACCAUUCCUUGAAAGCCAUAAUUGCUAUCGCAGAUGUAGAAAGGAAACCUAAGGCACUCCCGAAGCAAGAUAAAGGGGAAAAGAAGACUAAAACUGUCAAGACAGAACUUGAAAAGAAAGCUGAAAUAAAGCACAGAUGAUGCCUCUUAAAAAUGGGAUUCUCUAUGUUCUGCGAGGUCGCCAAGAAAUGCCAUUGACCGCGAGUACUCCAAAGACAUUUAAAGUGAAAAAGGGAGCACCAAUGUAUGUGCCAAAAGGAACCUAUAUGGUCCGGGGGACAAUUAAACCGCUUCGGCUGAAUGAGCCAGUGGUUAUUGGACGUGUGCCACAGAAGCCAAUGACAGACCCAUCUCCGGUGCCAUGGAACUAUCAGCAGACAGUGGUUACAUGCAAAGGUAAAGAAAUCACAGGAGAAUUUUCAGAAAAUACCUUUACUGAGAAAUAUUCAAAUAUACAAGAGGUAAACAAUGCCACGCGAAAGCACUUUCUAUCCAAGAAGCUUGUGAGUGCUGAGGAAGCAGAGGCUUUCUUCCAGAAAACGAAGAUGCCUGAUUAUGAAGUGGUUGAUCAGUUACGCAAGUAUCCUGAACAUGUGUCUAUGUUGUCUUUGUUAAUGAGGUCUGCCGAGCAUCAGAAGAUCUUAAUAAAAGCUCUGAAUGAGGCAUAUGUGUCGGCUGAGACUAUGGUUGAAUAACUCGAAAGAAUGGCAGAAAGGUUCUUCGCUGUCAAUCAAAUUUCCUUUAGUAAAAAUGACUUGCUUCUAGAGGGAGCGGCUCACAACAAAGCUUUACAUCUGACUGUCAAGUGUGAAGGUUUUUAUGUCAAGCGAGUCAUGGUGGAUGGAGGUUUGGUUGUUGACAUUUGCUUACUUUCCACGCUGUAGAGAAUGGAAAUUGGGACUGGAAGGAUUCGUCGGAAUAACAUCUGUGUUAGAGCCUUUGAUGGCAUUAAAAGGGAUACCAUCAAAGAAAUAGAUAUGAUAUUAACCAUAGGCCCGGUGGAGUUCGAGGUGACUUUACAAGUAUUAGAUAUGGAUACAUAUUACAACUUUCUUCUAGGAAGGCCUUGGAUCCAUGAUGCGGGGGCUGUACCCUCCACCCUUCACCAAAUGGUAAAGUUCGAGUAUGAAGAUAAGGAAAUUGUGGUCCACGGAGAAGACGAGCAACCUAUUUAUCAGGACCCAUCUAUCCCAUGUUUGGAGGCUAGGGAGGGAAGUGAACACAUUAUUUAUCAGGCUUUCAAAGUUGUAGUAGCGGAUCAGUGCGAAGUAGGGAGUCUUUGCCCCCAACCUUUCAUGUCCAAUGCUUCGAUCAUGGUGGCAAAAGAAAUGAUUAGACAUGGUUUCAAAUUAGGAAAAGGAUUGGGAAAAGCUCUACAAGGGAUAUCAGAGCCAAUAACUCUACCCACAUCAGAAAAGUUCUUCGGCAUAAGCUUCCUCCCUACUCCAGAAGAUGAAAAUUGGGCAGAUGAGAGAAAAAAAGGAAGGAUGGGUCUUGCCACAACCAUUGCCACAUCUCUAUCAGACUUUCGUUGUAUAGGUACAAGUUAAAAGUUUUAAAACAAAUAGGUAUAGGUUAAAUGGGGGCGACCAAAUACGGCGCCCCGUGCAAUUUUUACGAUUCAAAGUAGGCCUGAUUUCUUAUGAACUGGCCUAGAAAAGUGCCGGCCCAUUAAAGGAACAAAUGGGUUGCCGCCUUGCUGGAUUAUUGUUUACCUUUUCUCUAUAUAUAUAUAUAUAUAGAAAAAAUAAACAAUAAAUGAUUGAGUUGGCAGCUAUUUGGGUUAAUUUUUCUUUAUUAAAACAAAAACUUCUCAAUAAUCAUACCAGCUUUAAAGCAUAAAAACAUGGAUGUUCACUUUUGUAGACUGAAUGACACACAGCUUAAUGCUAAGAAUACAUUUGAUCAAAUAAUAGAAUAUUUACAAGAAUUGGAGAGAAGUUAUUAUUUCCGGUGAAUGCUUUUGCAGCAAGUCUUCGACCCCCCAACAAAUUAAUGUUGAUUUGCAUUGAUCAGCAGGCCCUAAACAAGUGUAGUUACUAAUCAUAUUUUUAUUUCAUAGAAGACCAAACGUCAUGUUAAUAAAAGAAAUUAUUGGUCAAAAUCAUGGCUGUCAACAUCAAAUUGUACAACUACUAUUAUACUUAGUCAAAUUAUUUAAGUAAUCUUUAGAUAAGAAACCUAAAAAAAAUUAAAACAAAAUAACUUGCUAUUAUUGUAUUUUGUAUUUUAAAGAGAAGUGCAUGACAAAUACCUACUUAAAGAAUUUUAUAUCUUUAGUGUUGUUGCUUAGGUUGGCGGGAAACUCAAUAUGCCGGAAAAUCACAUAACAUAAAUACAAUAAUUUUUGGUAUGUGUUUACUUCUUGUCUUGACAAUAUCACUGCCGCAUUCUUCUGGUCAAUAAAAAAUACGAUACAUAUCACUUCUUUUCAUUUUUCUUUUCUUUUUAUUUGAUCUUUUUCAUGGUUUUGGAGAUGGGCUAUGAGAAUGCGUUUAUUGAAUCAAGAAAAGAGAUUAGCGACGGAACGUUAAUUUAUGUAUAAAAAAUUACUGAAAUUAUAAGAGUGUAGUAAAUAUGUAUCAUUCGUAACUUUAAAUACAUAGUGAAUAAAAUGUUAAGAAAUUUAACGAUUAAACCCUAGAGCUUAGAUAUUAAAUUUCCCUCCCGCUGAUAGACAUGUUUCCAAAGGAGAACGUGUUAGGAUAUAUACUAGUAAUCAUGAGUUUGGUUUAGAUAUAGUAUUUAUUAUGAAAUAAUUGUUUAUUCAGUUUUAAUAAAGUNN
rnacentral:lncRNA from 1 species